UCUUCAACUGCACCAAACAAAAAGCUAUCUCAAGCACUAAUCUAUGAUUCUCAGGGCAUGUGAGCGAUGGUAAUAGGAUCUGUUGCUCACUGCUCAGCUCAAUCUCCUAAUCACCAUAGCAUCCUCAUCUUCUGCAAAUGCUGGAAAAUUCUGUGCCAUGGACUUGGGUAUAUAUCUUAGAGAUUAGGGUUCAAUUAUAAAAAUUCUGACCUCGAAAACCCAGAAACUUAGAUGUAAAUUUAUAAUGUUUUUGUAGCAAUACGUAGAAAUGGUACGAGUCAGAUACGAGUUUGAAGAUUGUGGUGCAGCUCCAAUCUAAAAUUAAAAAUCAACUUCAUCUAGGAACAUCGGGAUGUCGAUUUGAAUAAUGAAGUUUCUCUCUGACUCCUGUCCUGUAAUCUCGGACACGGAUUUGGUGUUAAUGUCUGGUAAUCACAUUAAGAUAGGAUACCUAUGUGGAAAAGAAUAUAUUUUUCGACAAUCGAAAAGUUUCCGUCCCAUUUUCCCAUUAACCAAACAACAAGUUCCAUGCAUUUCUUGGACGGUUGCUUUUUGUGGGAACAACUUUGCUUCUGCUGUCCUAUACCCUAAUACAAAGAACUCCGUUGGUCAGUCAAGUUAACCAACCCUAACCUCAAACUCAAUCCAAUUUAACAACGAUCGGUCAAAGAAGCUUACAUAAAUCGCAGUUCCCGUAUCAAUGUCGCCCAGAAACUGAUAAAAGUCCCUAGGAUUUCAUCGAUCCGUCUCUAAAAUACAGAAAAGUUACAAGAGAGAAAAACCAGAGCUUUGAAGAAAAGAUGAUUCACCGGUUCAACAGAGAUGUCGGCGGUGGCCGCCCGGUUUGACGGGCCGACUCUCCGUGGAAAACCGAACGUUUCGGUUUGCCUUUCGCAAAACCGGUCCAGCAGGGAAUUUUGACUACGCAUGUUCCGGAUCAUCCAGUAAAAACCGUACAAGAUCAACGGCUUCUCUUUUCUCAAACCGGUCCGGAUGGUAUUUUUACCUCCUACGACCGGGUCUUCCGGUAAAACCCGAACUGACUAAUUGAACCACAACCGGCUAGCCCCUGCCCUAACCGGUCCAUCCGGUUGUCAACCCACGGUUUUUAUAAACCAGUAGCUUCCCUCGGCUCACCCCUUUUCUCUCUUCAGCAUCCAAGGCCGGAGGAAAUCAAAGAGAGAAAAAACAAAUGCAAGUAAGUUGUAUGCCUCUUCUCUUUGUUUCAACAUGCAGUAUGAUGAUUGAUGAUUAGGCUAUAAAGCAAAAUUCUACCCUAAUGUGCAUCAUUUUAAUACUGAAGAGGCUGUGUAGAAUUGUUAGUUUCAUGAAUGAAUGAAUGAAAUGCUUGCUGGGAAACGUUUUUGGGUAUAGAUAGCCAUUGCCCACUUGGUAAUUCCUUAAGGUUAUUAAGAUGGCGUUGGCGCCCCAACCUAUAGCUUCCAGUUUGGAACCACUACCUAUUACCUCCCAAAAACAUGACCCGGCAUGGAAGCAUUGUCAAAUGUUCAAGAAUGGGGACAGGGUGCAGCUCAAGUGUUUGUAUUGUGGAAAAGUGUUUAAAGGUGGUGGGAUUCAUAGGAUUAAGGAACACCUUGCGGGCCAAAAGGGUAAUGCAUCUACGUGCCUUAGAGUGUCACCUGAUGUUCGGCUUCUGAUGCAACAGAGUUUAGAUGGGGUUGUAGUGAAGAAGAAGAAGAAGCAAAAGAUUGCGGAAGAGAUAACGAGCAUAAGUCCACUGCCUACUAGUGAGAUGGACACCUUUGGCAAUCAAUGUGAUGUGAAUUCUGGACUACAAUUAUUAGCUGUUCCUGAGACACUUGAACCUGAUUCAAGUCUAUUAGUAACUAGAGAAGAAGGAAAGACCAAUAGAGGAACAGAUAGAAGGAAGCGAGGGAGAGUAAAAAGAGCAGAUAAAAGUGCAAUUCCUGAUGCUGUUGCUAUUAAUAGUAUUGCAUUAGAUUCAAAAAGGGGAAACAAUCAGGUCCAUAUGGCAAUAGCACGGUUUUUAUAUGAUGCUGGGGUACCUCUUGAGGCGGUAAACUCGGUUUAUUUCCAACAAAUGAUCAAUGCAAUUGCUUCAGGAGGACCAGGGGUUGCUGCACCCUCAUAUCAAGAUCUUAGGGGUUGGAUUCUGAAGAACUCAGUUGAAGAAGUGAAGAAUGAUAUUGACCAAUACAUGGGGACAUGGGCAAGGACUGGUUGUUCUGUUUUAGUAGACCAAUGGAAUACACACAAUGGCAGGAUCUUGAUAAACAUUUUGGCACAUUGUCCUGAAGGAAUUAUGUUCUUGAGAUCUGUGGAUGUGUCAGACAUAAUGAAUUCUGCUGAUGCUCUGUAUGAAUUGCUUAAGGAAGUGGUGGAAGAAGUGGGGGUAAGGAAUGUGUUGCAAGUGAUUACUAAUGGUGAAGAACAGUACCUUGUUGCAGGGAAAAGGUUAUCUGAUACUUUCCCUACUCUAUAUUGGGCUCCAUGUGCAUCUCGUUGCUUAGAUUUGAUGCUUGAGGAUUUUGGGAAACUUGAGUGGAUAAAUGCAACACUUGAACAGGCUAAAUCUAUUGCAAGGUUUGUCUAUAAUCAUAAUGUUGUUCUGAAUAUGAUGAGAAGGUAUACUUUUGGCAAUGAUAUUGUAGCACCAGGAAUGACUCGUUUUGCUACAAACUUUAUGACACUGAAACGAAUGGUGGAUCUUAAACAAAAUUUGCAGGACAUGAUUACUUCACAGGAGUGGAUGGACUGCCCAUGUUCAAAGAAACCAGGGGGGUUGGAAAUGUUGGAUCUCAUAAGUAACCAUUCAUUCUGGUCCUCAUGCAUCCUAAUUGUCCAUUUGACAGAUCCACUCUUGCGAGUUUUCAGAAUUGUUGGCAAUGAAAAAAGACCUGCAAUGGGAUAUGUUUAUGCAGGAAUAUAUCGAGCCAAAGAAACAAUUAAGAAACAACUUGUUAAGAAGGAGGAUUAUAUCGUCUAUUGGAAUAUUAUAGACAACAGGUGGGAACAACAAUGGCAUGUUCCGCUCCAUGCUGCAGGUUUCUACCUUAAUCCCAAGUUCUUUUAUAGUAUUGAAGGAGAUAUACAUAAUGAGAUAGUGUCAGGAAUGCUUGAUUGUAUAGAAAGAUUAGUUCCUGAUACCAUAAUUCAGGAUAAAAUCAUGAAAGAGCUAAAUACGUACAAGAAUUCUAUUGGAGAUUUUGGGAGGAAGAUGGCAAUUAGAGCUAGAGAUACUCUGCUUCCUGCUGAAUGGUGGUCAACAUAUGGAGGCAGUUGCCCAAAUUUGGCACGUUUGGCCAUCCGUGUUCUGAGUCAACCUUGCAGUUCAAUUGUAAAUAAGCGAAAUCAGAUCCCUUUUGAGCAGAUGCAUGACUCAAGAAACUGCCUAGAGCAUCAACGUCUCAUUGACCUUGUGUUUGUUCAGUACAACUUGCGAUUGAUGCAAAUUGUCCAGAUGAACAGAGAACAUGAUCCAAGGGACCCUAUCUCUUUUGACAGCAGUAAUGUUGUUGAUGACUGGGUCUCGGGGAAGGAAGCAUGCUUGCAGGAUUAUGGGACUUCAGACUGGAUGGCACUUGAUCCACCUUCAGGCAACACUAUGCUUUUAGGACCUUCAAAUGAUGAAGCUGAAGAUUUAGGCGCAGGAUUUGAUGAUGAUGAGAUUUUCAAUAGGGUAAAAGAUGUCGAGGAGGAUAAUAUUGAGGACAAUGUAGUAAGCCAGUAGAACAGCAUUCACAAAACACUGUUUUUAUGCGGAUUCCAUAUUGAAGACUGGUUACAUGUUGCACUGUAAUCAAGCAGAAAAUGACUGUAACCAGAAAGUAAUCAAUCAAAGCAACCUUCAUCAAGGAAGAAAAGAUAUUGAAGGUUUGGAUCAAGGCUCAGCCUAUCUCAAAAAUGUCAAUCCUCCUGCAAGUCAUGGCUGACGAUAAGCAGCUUUAUUGAAAUUGUACUUAAAAAUGCCUUGUAUAUCUCUGUUCUGUUAUGCAGUUUUGUAGAAAAAUAUAGGUGAUUUCUCUUUGUAUUUCUCACCCAGAGGUUGUAAAUGAUAUCAUACACAAUAAACCUUUUAGCUAAAAAUAUGAGUUACAAUUAAACCUUUGUGAAUUUUAAGUUACAUCAUCAAAUAAUCAGUAGAAAAAUGACUACUCAAAAGUGUUGUAGUCCAACUUUAUCA